rnacentral:lncRNA from 1 species
CCCAAACCUGUCUAUCUAUCAUGUAAAACGACAAAUCUUAGUUAGAAGGUUAAAUUUAAUGUAGAUAAAAAACUAUGUGCUAUUGGCCUGGGAUUGAGGCGUAAUUGUUAUUAUUUUUGUAAAAAAUUAUGUGCUGCUCUCAUGUCAAAAGUUACUUAUUGCAUUUAAUCAAUCAAUGUGUUAUAAGAAAAUGACUGCAUUAACCAUAUAUUUAAAUACUCAUAAAAGAAAAACUAUAAAUUUUAUAAUGGGUAAGUGUAAGCUUAGAUGAGAAAAAAGUGAAAAUGGCAGAGAAUGUACUCAUUCCGCAGUGGCUUCAUGAUCUCUCUUAGGAAGUGAAAUUGGAAAUGUCUUAACAUGUUUUUCUUAUGUCCUCUCCCCCAUUAUCUGGAAAAAUACCAGUUGAUGCUUCAAACUGCCUAGGUAGUCAAAGUUAUCAAAAAAUUUAUAUAUGUGAAUUUAAGUUUGUAUUUUGAGCUAAGUAACUAGGUAGUCAAAGUUAGCAAAAAAUUUAUAUAAAUGUGUUAUAGCAAGUGACGGAGUUUGGCUAAUACAGCAAAGUUUUAAAAAAGUGUGAAAAUGGAUGUGGAUAUAAUAAAUUAUUAAGGUGAUGCUCUAAGUCAAGGUAGUAGUUAUGUUAUUGAGAGAUACCAGUUCACCAGCAAAUACAGUGGUCAAUCCAUCUGCAACUUGACCUGAGAGCAUUACAACUGCAGCAUCACU